rnacentral:rRNA from 1 species
GACGAACCGUGCGACCGUUGUUCGGAAUCACUGGGCUUAAAGGGCGCGUAGGCGGGUCGAAAAGUCCGUGGUGAAAUCCCCCCGCUCAACGGGGGAACGGCCGCGGAUACUGUCGGCCUUGAGGGAGGUAGGGGCGAGCGGAACGCUGGGUGGAGCGGUGAAAUGCGUUGAUAUCAGGAGGAACACCGGUGGCGAAGGCGGGUCUCUGGGCCGAUACUGACGCUGAGGAGCGAAAGCGUGGGGAGCGAACAGG